AUGGCUGUCAUGGAGGCCAGCAUCUUCAGGAGGCCCUACUACCUGUCACACUUCCUCCCCGCCCUGCUCACACCGAGAGUGCUCCCAGAGGUUCCUGACUCCCGGGUGACCUUUAUAGAGACUCUGAAGAGGUAAGCAGGAGCUUGC